rnacentral:rRNA from 1 species
UACACUCCUACGGGAGGCAGCAGUGGGGAAUAUUGGACAAUGGGCGCAAGCCUGAUCCAGCCAUGCCGCGUGAGUGAUGAAGGCCCUAGGGUUGUAAAGCUCUUUCACCGGAGAAGAUAAUGACGGUAUCCGGAGAAGAAGCCCCGGCUAACUUCGUGCCAGCAGCCGCGGUAAUACGAAGGGGGCUAGCGUUGUUCGGAAUUACUGGGCGUAAAGCGCACGUAGGCGGAUCGAUCAGUCAGGGGUGAAAUCCCAGGGCUCAACCCUGGAACUGCCUUUGAUACUGUCGAUCUGGAGUAUGGAAGAGGUGAGUGGAAUUCCGAGUGUAGAGGUGAAAUUCGUAGAUAUUCGGAGGAACACCAGUGGCGAAGGCGGCUCACUGGUCCAUUACUGACGCUGAGGUGCGAAAGCGUGGGGAGCAAACAGGAUUAGAAACCCCGGUAGUCCCAUGAU